rnacentral:lncRNA from 1 species
CACACCUGACCGCGGGGACCGCGGGGAUGCGGGCGGCUUGAUGGCGCAGACGGGUGCGGCCGUCACCUGCCGGGACCCGCCGGGGGCGCGGGCUGGGGGCCCCCACAGGAAGGCCGGCCGCUGGGUUUCCGCGCGCUCCGGAGAAUGGAGCGGGCCUGGGGGACUGGCGCGUGUGGCUGGUCCUGGACGCGCGAUGUCCCCGCUCCGUCUGCGGCCUCAUCCAAGGUCCCCAGCUCAACACGCUGAAGACACGCGAGCUCCCGGGGUCGGUAUUCCCCGCUGCCCCAGAGGCCCGGGCCGAGGCAGGUGCACCCCCACCCCAGGACCCACAUCGCGGCAGCGCAGACACACGGUUGGCUUCCCUGCCUCGCUCGGGAAAGACGCCCACGUGUGGUGACCGAGCAAGCAAGUGCAGGGGGUGGGGGGGGGGGGGGGGAGGAGCCGUUCUCCGGAAGCGCAGACUUAGAGGACUUGGAGGGGAAGCAAAUUCACCAAACAUAGGGACAGGCACGCUCGGCGAACACGUUCGCCCGGCUGUGCAGAGACGUCUUUCUUACCAAGAGUGGCAGCGCUCUUCGCGUCCUCCGAACUCACAUGAAAAACAACGAGAACCACCCGACCCCACUCUGCUUGCGGUGCGCGCGCAUCUCUGCUCUGGGACUGGGCGUGGCCGAGUCCGCAGCCACCUGCUGGCGGGUUCUCCACCCGAGAACCACCGCAGCAGCGACGACCCGGCGCACCUGCAGCGGCUUCACCUCGCGGUACCGUCGGAGAGCAAGACGCACGUAGGCGCAGCGCACUGGACCCUGUCCUUUCAUGCCCUCCUUCUCCGAGUUGCUGGGGCAGGGGGGGAGGGGUGGCGGACGAAAUUGUGCAUUCCCAGCACCCGCUCCCAGUCACAGCCCUCCUACCUCCUUCCGCCCUCUCCUCUCAUCCCCUCUCUCUGCUGUUACACCUUUAAAGUCAUUCCUGACUUUGAAGAAACUUCUCAAGUAUCACGUAAACUUAUCAUCUAGACAGAAAUUCUGUAUUGUGUUAAAUAAACUCUAUCCUUAUCUGACUGACUUGAAGAAG